rnacentral:rRNA from 1 species
UACGUAGGGUGCAAGCGUUAAUCGGAAUUAUUGGGCGUAAAGCGUGCGCAGGCGGUUAUGCAAGACAGAUGUGAAAUCCCCGGGCUCAACCUGGGAACUGCAUUUGUGACUGCAUAGCUAGAGUACGGUAGAGGGGGAUGGAAUUCCGCGUGUAGCAGUGAAAUGCGUAGAUAUGCGGAGGAACACCGAUGGCGAAGGCAAUCCCCUGGACCUGUACUGACGCUCAUGCACGAAAGCGUGGGGAGCAAACAGG